GAACUAGUGAUACACUUUAUAUUUUAACAGCGAUGUGUGUGCAAUUAACAAAUCCAACUGUAGACGAAGAGAAGAUGAAUGUGAUGCAACUAUUCAGAGAAUCUCCAAUACAAAAUGACAAUUUUAUUCAAACUUUUGAACUGAGAUCUCGAUCAUGACCAUCAUUAUCAUCAACAUGAUGUUCAGGGGAAAAAAUUGUAAGUUUAUCAAGUUGUAUUUCUGGUUGUGAGCAAAUUAAAGGAAAAAAAAAACAUUACUGACUGAAAAAUACUGAAU